CUGCUUCUACUUUCACUCUUUCUUCUCUUUCUUCACUUUCUAUCAGAUGAAUAUUCAUUACUUAUUCUUAUAGAGACUCAGAUAUUCACUUUAUCACUUUAUUCACUUUCAUCUCAUUCUUCUCUACUCUGAUUGAUUUUUCUCUGUAUAUAUAUUCUCAUCAUUUUAUUAAGCUUUCUGCAAAUCUUUUUAUUGAAGAUAUUGAAUCAGUAUAUCAGACUUUUUAGAAGACAGAGAUAUACUCUGUAUUUCUAUAUAUUUAUCUUGAAAUCUUAAAGUUUUUGAUGCAGACUAAGUUUUAAUUUUUGUUGUAUAUAAAUUGUUUCUGAAG
rnacentral:sRNA from 2 species